rnacentral:rRNA from 1 species
UACAGAGGUCUCAAGCGUUGUUCGGAUUCAUUGGGCGUAAAGGGUGUGUAGGCGGCGCGCUAAGUCGGGUGUGAAAUUUCGGAGCUUAACUCCGAAACUGCAUUCGAUACUGGCGUGCUUGAGGACUGGAGAGGAGACUGGAAUUCAUGGUGUAGCAGUGAAAUGCGUAGAGAUCAUGAGGAAGACCAGUGGCGAAGGCGGGUCUCUGGACAGUUCCUGACACUGAGACGCGACAGCGUGGGGAGCAAACAGG